rnacentral:rRNA from 1 species
UACGGGGGGGGCAAGCGUUGUUCGGAAUUACUGGGCGUAAAGGGCGCGUAGGCGGUUCGUUAAGUCCUGUGUGAAAUCCCCCGGCUCAACUGGGGAACUGCACAGGAAACUAGCGGGCUUGAGUUCGGGAGAGGGAAGCGGAAUUCCGGGUGUAGCGGUGAAAUGCGUAGAUAUCUGGAGGAACACCGGUGGCGAAGGCGGCAUCCUGGACCGGUAUUGACGCUGAGGCGCGAAAGCCAGGGGAGCAAACGGG